GUAGGUGGGGCCUUGGGCAGCCCCCGGUAAUAGAGUGUGGUCUGAGGUUGUCCCUUCUGGUAUCUGCUCCAACUGCGACCAGUUUUUUUCUUCUCUGCCACCUCCACCCAUUUGGUUCCAAUCUCCCCCCGCCUCGAUUACAGUUUUGGGUUUCCCAUCUAGGAUGUAACCUUGUAUUUCCUCAGGAACACCCUCUAAGAACUGUUCCAUUUGCAUUAGGAAGGGCAAAUCUACUGGAGAUUCAACACUUGCUCCUGAUAUCCAGGCAUCCCAAUGUUUCACAAUGUGGUAGGCAUGUCAGAGGGAUAUUAUUGAUUCCCAAAAACAAGGCAGUGCCUAUCCUCCACACUAGCUCUAGGUGCUGCAAGAAAGAACCCACAUGGACAUGCCUUGGGAACUGCUAACUUGUCAGAAAAGAAGCUUAUGUGGCUAUUACCUAUGCUAUUCCAUUGGGGUUAACAUAUAACGGAAUAAAUUAGCAACAUUUUAUAUUGAGAAAAAUUUUAUGGAUGUAAUGGUCCAAGAUAUGCUUUCAUCUGCACUGCUGCAACACCACUGAAUUUGCCCACGUGUAACUGAGAACAGAGUAUGGCCCAAUAUGUUGUGUGUAUAGAUAUGACAAAUCUUCAAUUACAAAAAUGGGAUGAACAUUUGUGUUUUUGAUAUUUUUCCUUUGAUCUGUAACAAUUCUUCCACCUUAAACUCUCAAGUUAAAAGGAGCUUUGCUUCUGUCUAGGUGGGUAAAGUGCCCUCCUAAGUGUCUGAUACAAAUUUCAGUUCAUGAAUCAGCUAAUCAGAUGCAUCUCUGCAUGGAAUUGAUACCGCACUCUCAAUUUCUGACAGACAGGUUGCACAUCAUACAAACUAUAAUCAUACAUGGAACUAAUUGACACCCUGCUAGCAGUUUCAGCAGACAGUCCUAAGAUUGAAUAAGCAUGGAUACUAACUCAUUGUUGUAUUCUUAGAGGUGGUCCCUCUAAGUGUUGAGGCAUGCUAGCAGGGUGCUGUGUGGGUUGAUGCUGUACCUGUUCUGUGAAUAAGCAGAUUCCAGUCUCCAGAGCUGUUUAAUCUGGCACUUUUCAUGAGCAUU